UAUAAACCACCGAGCGGCUGGGAGCCAUCAGUAAAGACCCACGACAAACUCUUUUACAGCAGAUUUCGCACGCAAUGGAGAGUACGCGUGUGCUCCACUUUCCACGUCAGGCUGUUUCGCUAGCAGCUCCGUCUCUUCUAGCCGAGCCUAUAUAACGAUGUGCAGUAUCGGACAGAGUCGCCGGUCUCAAAGAUCCCACUUGCAUGGCCCCGUGUCUGACAAUACAGAUGGAUGGCUUAAAGGACGACAACGGUAUGGAGACGACGAAGUUCCUCGAGUGUGCGCACUCAGACGAAGCAACCGCAAACGAAUACCAGAGGCGAACGACUGGGAAGUGAACUACUCAGGUCCUGCCGAGAGUAACGUCACUUAUUUCUGAGAGAAAAGCCGACCUCAGAGUGUAGAAGACCGCGACAACCCCAAAUUUGCGCCUUGCCAACUGAUUCAGAACUUCCGAAAAAAGGAAGAACAAAAACAUCAUGCACCUUGAAUUCUAUGCACAAAACACCGUCCCAAUACAUGAAGAACUUCUGUGUUUUCAUCCGUCCAUCCCUGAUGACUUCAGUUCCGGUCGCCCGCCAAUGACAUCACCUCCAUCACCUUCUGUUCACGUCACCCAAUUCCUUCCGCCUAC